rnacentral:rRNA from 1 species
GAUGAACGCUAGCUACAGGCUUAACACAUGCAAGUCGAGGGGAAACGGUAUUAAGUGCUUGCACUUUUUGGACGUCGACCGGCGCACGGGUGAGUAACGCGUAUCCAACCUUCCCAUGACUAAGGGAUAACCUGCCGAAAGGCAGACUAAUACCUUAUGGUCUUCACUGACGGCAUCAGAUGUGAAGUAAAGAUUUAUCGGUUAUGGAUGGGGAUGCGUCUGAUUAGCUUGUUGGCGGGGUAACGGCCCACCAAGGCAACGAUCAGUAGGGGUUCUGAGAGGAAGGUCCCCCACAUUGGAACUGAGACACGGUCCAAACUCCUACGGGAGGCAGCAGUGAGGAAUAUUGGUCAAUGGGCGAGAGCCUGAACCAGCCAAGUAGCGUGCAGGAUGACGGCCCUAUGGGUUGUAAACUGCUUUUGUAUGGGGAUAAAGUCAAUCACGUGUGAUUGUUUGCAGGUACCAUACGAAUAAGGACCGGCUAAUUCCGUG